rnacentral:lncRNA from 1 species
GGGGUCGGGGUGAGAGAGACAAAGGAAGGGAAAGACACUGAGGACAUCCAGACAGAAAUGCACAGAUCACAGAUUAUACGUAGAUACAGCCCACCAUACGGGUCACGCUAACAAAUGACAUAAUGUCCUAAGGGGUGUGAUGAACUGUCUUAGGAACUGGAUGAAGGAGGGGUUAAUUCUGCCUAGGAGGCGGGAUACAGAAAAGAGGGGUCUCUGUGGAGAUUUAAAGUGCCCAGCCUGGACGAUUAUGCAGGAGAGAGUGCCAACAGCGACAUCAUGUGUCCAUGAGGAGCAACAGCAGGCUCUGACUGGAUCCUGAAGGCGGAUGUGGCGUGAAACCAACUCCAUUCGGGAUUGUGAUGCCUGAGAAAAUCAAGAUUGGGACAAGCUCCAAGAGAGAGAUGCCAGCGCUGUGGGGUCAGAAGCCCCUGGCAGAAAGACCAGGGGCGUGAGGAGGAGAGGCAGGAAGAAGGAAAGCAAAGGAUGUCACCCGCAGCCCUGUUCCCUGCCUGCCCCAGGCUCCACGUGGAGCGGGGCCUGCUCCACUUCCAGUCAGGUGCCUCAGUGUCCUCACACAACAGCAGAAGACGGAGGCAGCGAGGAUCCACUCACAAGAGGAGGAAGCGCUCUCCAUGGACUCUGUGUCCA